CGCGUAGGUGGUUUUGUAAGUUGGAGGUGAAAUCCCCGGGCUCAACCUGGGAACUGCCUCCAAAACUGCAUGACUAGAGUACGGUAGAGGGUAGUGGAAUUUCCUGUGUAGCGGUGAAAUGCGUAGAUAUAGGAAGGAACACCAGUGGCGAGGGCGACUACCUGGACUGAUACUGACACUGAGGCUCGAAAGCCAGGGUAGUGAACG
rnacentral:rRNA from 1 species